rnacentral:rRNA from 1 species
GACGAACGCUGGCGGCGUGCUUAACACAUGCAAGUCGAACGGAAAGGCCCUGCUUUUGUGGGGUGCUCGAGUGGCGAACGGGUGAGUAACACGUGAAUAACCUGCCCUUGACUUUGGGAUAACUUCAGGAAACUGGGGCUAAUACCGGAUAGGAGCUCCUGCUGCAUGGUGGGGGUUGGAAAGUUUCGGCGGUUGGGGAUGGACUCGCGGCUUAUCAGCUUGUUGGUGGGGUAGUGGCUUACCAAGGCUUUGACGGGUAGCCGGCCUGAGAGGGUAACCGGCCACAUUGGGACUGAGAUACGGCCCAGACUCCUACGGGAGGCAGCAGUGGGGAAUAUUGCACAAUGGGCGGAAGCCUGAUGCAGCAACGCCGCGUGCGGGAUGACGGCCUUCGGGUUGUAAACCGCUUUCGCCUGUGACGAAGCGUGAGUGACGGUAAUGGGUAAAGAAGCACCGGCUAACUACGUG